AUGUGUGUGUACAUGUGCAUGUGGAUGAGUAUGUAUGUCUGCAUGUAUGCAUGGUGGGUGCAUGCACAUAUCUGUAAGUGCAUGAGCAUGCUUGUGUAUGUGCAUGU
rnacentral:miRNA from 1 species